CCUACGGGAGGCAGCAGUAGGGAAUCUUCCACAAUGGGCGAAAGCCUGAUGGAGCAACGCCGCGUGAGUGAAGAAGUAUUUCGGUAUGUAAAGCUCUAUCAGCAGGGAAGAAAUAAAGUCCUUCGGACUUUGGACGGUACCUGACUAAGAAGCCCCGGCUAACUACGUGCCAGCAGCCGCGGUAAUACGUAGGGGGCAAGCGUUCUCCGGAUUUACUGGGUGGAAAGGGAGCGUAGACGGCAGCGCAAGUCUGGAGUGAAAUCCCAUGGCUUAACCAUGGAACUGCUUUGGAAACUGUGCAGCUGGAGUGCAGGAGAGGUAAGCGGAAUUCCUAGUGUAGCGGUGAAAUGCGUAGAUAUUAGGAGGAACACCAGUGGCGAAGGCGGCUUACUGGACUGUAACUGACGUUGAGGCUCGAAAGCGUGGGGAGCAAACAGGAUUAGAUACCCGUGUAGUC
rnacentral:rRNA from 1 species